AGAGAAUGGCAUCAUAUGUGAAGGACAAAAACAUAGCUGAAGUUGGAGGCAAGAUAAAAUUAAGUCAAAAUUCUUUUUCUUCAAAGCUCAGUCAACACCCAUAUCUAGUAACCAGUAAUGUUUCCGCAAUCAUAGCACAUUAAGCUUUGGCAUUUAUAAAUUUUAAAAAAAAAAUCAUAGCCAGUGUCAUUUAUAACCAUGCU
rnacentral:misc_RNA from 1 species